rnacentral:rRNA from 1 species
UAUUGCACAAUGGGCGCAAGCCUGAUGCAGCCAUGCCGCGUGUAUGAAGAAGGCCUUCGGGUUGUAAAGUACUUUCAGCGGGGAGGAAGAGAGUAAAAUUAAUACCUUUACUCAUUGACGUCACCCGCAGAAGAAGCACCGGCUAACUCCGUGCCAGCAGCCGCGGUAAUACGGAGGGUGCAAGCGUUAAUCGGAAUUACUGGGGGUAAUGCGGACGCAGGCGGUUUGUUAAGUCAGAGGUGAAAUCCCCGGGCUCAACCUGGGAACUGCAUCUGAUACUGGCAAGCUUGAGUCUCGUAGAGGGGGGUAGAAUUCCAGGUGUAGCGGUGAAAUGCGUAGAGAUCUGGAGGAAUACCGGUGGCGAAGGCGGCCCCCUGGACGAAGACUGACGCUCAGGUGCGAAAGCGUGGGGAGCAAA